rnacentral:lncRNA from 1 species
AGAAAAAUGGCAGAAAAAUAAAAGACGGACAUCAAAGUAUUUUUCAAUACACCAAAACGCAUAGUAAGAACCCUAGUAGCCUAAUAUCUCAAAGACUAGUUGAUAAAAUGUUCAUAAGAAAGAAAUGAAAUUCUAAUGGAAAUGUUUCACAAUGAUGUCAUUAGGCAGAGCAGGCAACAGAUGGCACACAGACAGCAGAGUUCGGGACAGAUAUGCAGGGACAGACUGGCAGAGACAGGGAGUCUCAGGUAAGUUUGUUGAGUCUUUGUUUGGCAACAUUAUGAAAGGUUCUCAAUUUUUUUGACUUGUAAAAUAGGAACAUAAUUGGAAAAUGCCAUGGAUACCCCCACUCUCAACUUAAACUGGUGACUGAACUAAGAUUUGUUAAAGGCAAUGGUAUUGGUAUUGGUGUUGUGAUUAGUUGUGUAGUUUUGGGUACCGGUAGUUAGGAGUACGGCAAACACCUUAUUUCUUUGGUUCCUCAAUAUACAUUUACCAUAUUACAAUGUAGGCUAUGUGUUACAGCACUACUUUUGGUGUCCCCCUCAGGAAUUGCUCUUGAGAAAAUUUCAUGUAAUUGUCCCCUCCAAAGUUGAUAUCAGAUUUUCGCCCCUGGUCGUGGCCAAACGUUUUGAGAAUUACACAAAUAUUGUUUGUCCACCCGUCUCUUGAGGAUUGACCACAAGUUCUCAAUGGGAUUAAGGUCUGGGGAGCGUCCUGGCCAUGGACCCAAAAUAUCGAUGUGUUGUUCCCCGAGCCACUUAGUUAUCCCUUUUGCCUUAUGGCAAGGUGCUCCAUCAUGCUGGAAAAGGCAUUGUUCGUCACCAAACUGUUCCUGGAUGGUUGGGAGAAGUUACUCUCGGAGGAUGUGUUGGUACAUUUCUUUAUUUAUGGCUGUGAGUGAGCCCACUCCCUUGGCUGAGAAGCAACCCCACACAUGAAUGGUCUCAGGAUGUUUUACUGUUGGCAUGACACAGGACUGAUGGUAGCGCUCACCUUGUCUUCUCCGGACAAGCUUUUUUCCGGAUGCCCCAAACAAUCGGAAAAGGGAUUCAUCAGAGAAAAUGACUUUACCCCAGUCCUCAGCAGUCCAAUCCCUGUACCUUUUGCAGAAUAUCAGUCUGUCCCUGAUGUUUUUCCUGGAGAGAAGUGGCUUCUUUGCUGCCCUUCUUGAUACCAGGCCAUCCUCCAAAAGUCUUCGCCUCACUGUGCGUGCAGAUGCACUCACACCUGCCUGCUGCCAUUCCUGAGCAAGCUCUGCACUGGUGGUGCCCCGAUCCCUCAGCUGAAUCAACUUUAGGAGAUGGUCCUGGCUCUUGCUGGACUUUCUUGGGCACCCUGAAGCCUUCUUUACAACAAUUGAACCGCUCUCCUUCUUGAUGAUCCGAUAAAUGGUUGAUUUAGGUGCAAUCUUACUGGCAGCAACAUCCUUUUUGUGCAAAGCAAUGAUGAUGGCACGUGUUUCUUUGCAGGUAACCAUGGUUGACAGAGGAAGAACAAUGAUUCCAAGCCCCACUCUCCUUUUGAAGCUUCCAGUCUGUUAUUCGAAAUCAAUCAGCAUGACAGAGUGAUCUCCAGCCUUGUCCUCGUCAACACUCACACCUGUGUUAACGAGAGAAUCACUGACAUGUCAGCUGGUCCUUUUGUGGCAGGGCUGAAAUGCAGUGGAAAUGUUUUUGGGGGAUUCAGUUCAUUUACAUGGCAAAGAGGGACUUUGCAAUUAAUUGCAAUUCAUCUGAUCACUCUUCAUAACAUUCUGGAGUAUAUGCAAAUUGCCAUCAUACAAACUGAGGCAGCAGACUUUGUGAAAAUUAAUAUUUGUGUCAUUCUCAAAACUUUUGUCCACGACUGUACAUCUUGCUAGUAGGGCUGCUGCUUUCUGGUUCCAGUUUAUCCAAAGGUUCGUUUAUGGACCAGAAAAUGUAGUUUGGAGAGGGGUGGCAGGUCUUGUAUUACAGCAAGUAGGGGGAUUAGGUUUAAAGAAGGCUUUCUUUUUGGUUGAUAGUAGCCAGAUAUUGAUAGUAGCCAGCAAAAUGACAGAUUUGUACCUUGUCAGCUCGGGGAUUUGAACUUGAGAAGUUUCAGUUACUAGCCCAACAUUUUAACCACUAGGCUACCCUGCUGCCCCUGCUGCUGCCAUGGCAGAGCCCAAAUUAAUGGAUGGAGGACGGGUGGCUGAACAUUUGGGGGUGAGGUCGAAAAGGAUUGUCGGACAACUGCUGGGAAGUUGCAGGAAGGCUCUGACAGCAGAGGAGUGGAUUAUGCUCAAGAAGAAAAAGAAAAAAAACAAAAAGACAAGAUGAAGACAUCCCAUUUCCAAGACUCCCAGAGUCAGACAGAAAGGCUUUAUUAGUGGAUUUGAGAGGGUUGGAAGAGGUGGGUUUGGAUGAGGUGAAUGGGAAGGAGUUAUAUAGAUGGUGUGUCAAGGUUUUAAAUAAAGAUACAUUGAAGAAUAGAAAAGACACUCCUUGGAGGGUAAAACUGGGCCUUGAUGACAAGGUAAAGUCAGCAUGGAGAGCACUGUACAAGCCACCGUUACAAAAGGGUACUGGUGAUAUGCAAUGGAGGAUGUUGCAUGGCAUCACUGCAGUUAAUGCUUUUAUAUCUGUUAUUAACUCAGAUGUUGGAGAUGGAUGUCCUUUUUUUUAAUAUAAGAAACUAUUUUUCACUGCUUUAUGGAGUGUGAGAGGAUAAAACCUCUCUUUGAAAUACUAGAGUCUUUGUUUACAACUGUAGGGAAGAUUUUCAAUAACACCGUUUUUAUUUUGGGGUUUCAAUGUAGUAAGCAACAGAAAAUAAACUGUUAUUUUAUUUUGGGACAAGCUAAGAUGUCAAUUUGUCUGAGUAGGAAACAUAAAAUAGACAUGGCAUAUGGGCAGGAUGUAAUGUAAUGUUUUUAAAAGGAUUAGUCAAAGCCAGAGUAAAAGUGGAUUUUGAGUUCAUCUCGGCUGUAAAACAUCUCCCAUUGUUUGAGGAGAAGUGGGCUUAUGAAGGAGCGAUUUGUUUUGUGGAGGAGGGGAAACUAUUUAUUGUUGAUGAAACCAGUUGAAUGCAAAUGAUCUUUUAUUUUAAUUGAAUUAAUUUCUUUUUUUAUAUGUUUCUUUAAGAACAACACAGUUGUUGUGUAAUUUCUGAAAAGGCAGUGUGGCAAUACUUGUUACAGUUUUUCUCAAUUGUUUACACACAAAUACUGGUACUUGAGACACAAUGACCACAACAUGUAACUCAUGCACCAACCCCCUGAACCAAUUCUGCUAAACUACAAGCACAAUUCCUGCUUUACACUCAAAUUGCAGUUCUAAAACACACUUUUUUUCAAAACACUACACACAAUUCUUUGCAUUUGGCACAAUUUUCAUGCAGAAAAUCUCUUGUUUUCACAAUGAACACACUGCCAUUCAAAUAUGCACACUGACUCAUCACAUGGGCAAACACCCGUCACAUAGUUUUACAAUUAGCAAUCAGAGCUUUAGCAUAAAAUGGCAACAGGUGAGCUCUUCUGUUUUGGAGCAAUGGAUGCCAACAUUGGAAACAGAGGCAGAGCCAGAGGAGUGAGAGUAAGAGGAGGAGGACGGGGAGGAUGAGGACGAGGACGAGGAAGGCCAAGGACCGUAAUCUCUGAUGAGAUCCGAGCCACUUUGGUUGAUCAUGUGGUCAAACAUGGUCUAACAAUGAGGGAGGCUGGACAAAGAGUACAGCCAAAUUUGAGCAGGUACACUGUAGCAUCCAUCAUCCGGACAUUCCGAAAUGAGAAUAGGUAAGAAAUCUACUCUCACUAGAAAAUUGCAGUACUGCAUAUCAAUACAGUACUCAAUGAGUACAGUAGUACAGUAUUGCCUGUGGACUGUUCUGUAGGACUGUAAAAAAUAAAGUAUGUUUCAAGUAUUUGGGAAAUGUAUUCCUACUUUGUAUUUACAGUAUUUACUAUUUGUUUGGCAGAACUGAAAGAUUACCAACACAAGGUGGUCAGGAACGUGUUCUGUCUCCUGAACAGGAAACUGAAAUCAUGAACAUGGUCCUAGAAAAUAACGCCAUAACAUUAUGGCAAAUACAAAAGAAAAAUAAUAGAAAACAAUGAGAUAUAUUUCAAAAUAUUGAUAGGGUAAGCUUAUCAACACUGGACCGUGUCUUGCGCAGAAAUAAUCUCAGGACGAAGCAGGUCUACAGGGUGCCAUUUCAACGCAAUUCAGAAAGAGUCAAAGAAUUGCGAUAUAACUAUGUACAAGUGAGUCCUAUACAAUCCCACAAUUGAUGCAUACUCUCAACACUGUAUAAAUUAUACAUAUUUCAGUGUUGUAAUCAUAAUGAUUGUGUUUCACAAUAGUGACCACUCCAUGUCUAUUUCUGAUAUUGUCAUGUGUGUUUCAGAGAGUCCUUGAGUUAGAGGUGGCUGCAGUGGAGCACCAGUUCAUCUUCAUUGAUGAGGUUGGAUUCAACCUCACAAAAAAAAAAGACGAAAGAGGGGAAGGAAUAUCAUCGGCCAGCGUUUCCAUUGUUCAAGUCCCUGGCCAGCGCGGAGGGAACAUCACAAUGUGUGCAGCGAUUACCCACCACGGCGUCAUCCAUCACCAUGCUACCCUUGGCCCCUACAACACCGCCCAUCUGAUCACAUUCCUGGACACCCUACACAACACACUCAUUCCACCAGAUCAGGUAGAUGGCCCAGAGCAGCUCAGGUACGUUGUCAUUUGGGACAAGGUAAGUUUCCACAGGGCUGCUCUGGUUCGUAACUGGUUCACUGCCCAGCCACGCUCUUUAGUUGUUGAUCUCCCUCCAUAUUCUCCAUUCCUACAUCCUAUAGAGGAAUUGUUUUCUGCCUGGAGAUGGAAAGUGUAUGACCGAAAUCCACAAACGCUUAUACCUCUUCUCCAAGCUAUGAAAGACGCAUGUGGAGAUAUAGCAGCUGAUGCUUUUCAUGGCUGGAAUCGCCAUGCUAGGCCAUAUUUCCCCCCGCUACUUGGCCAGGGAAAACAUUGCUUGUGAUGUGGAUGAGGUGCUGUGGCCAGACCGCAACAGAACAGAGGAUGCAGAAUAGUUUUUUUUUCAUUUUUAUUUUUUUACUGUAACUGUAUACAUUAAAUUCUUCUGUUUUGUAUGUAGACCACUGUAUGUGCAACUUUGUGUUGGUUGGGAAUGGGAUGUACAUUGUUUUUGUGGGAAAAAUAAAGUAUAUUUGUUACCGUGUAUUUGUGUGUUCUGAGUAUAAAAACAAUAUUCUCAAAUAUUUUACAACACACUUAUGUAUGUACUGUCUGUAGUGAUGGCAACACUGAACCAAAAAAAGGCCUAAGUCACUAUGAUGAAGUGUUUUCCAUUCAUCAUAGUGUUUUACAUUGAGCACAUCAGUGGUUCUUAUAAAUGUCUAUUCAUAUGAUGGUUUGUGUGUGUCAUUUGAAAACAAAAUACAAUUUUGAUAAGAAAUAACAUUGUUUUGAAUGUAAAGUUUCAUUUUGCUGGAGAAUUGAGGGGUUUUACCCAUUGUGUGUGUGUUUUUUGAUUUUUGUGUAGAGUUCAGAGAAUAUGAUGCAUGCUUUCAGAAAAUGUGUGUAAACAAUCGAGAAAAACUAAUACUUUAGUUUAAAAUAAAGGUUUUAUAAAAACUGUACACUCUCUCUCCCUCUCUUUCUCAUUCUCUCGCUGUCCCUCUCUCUCUCUCUCUUUCUCUACUCUCUCCCUCUUUCUCCCUGUCUUUCUCUCUCUCCCUCUCUUUCUCUCUCUAAGAUAUGAUGCACUACCAGCUCAUCCAAUAAGAGUAUGAUUUUAACAGUACAUGUCUUUCCUUUUUUAUUAUUUGUUUAUUCCACCUUUAUUUAACCAGGUAGGAUAGUUGAGAACAAGUCCUUUAUUCAACCAGGUAGGAUAGUUGAGAACAAGUCCUUU